rnacentral:tRNA from 1 species
GGGCGCAUAGCUCAGUUGGUAGAGCGCCUGUCUUACACACAGGUGGCCAUAGGUUCGAGUCCUGUUGCGCCCA